rnacentral:rRNA from 1 species
UACAGAGGGUGCAAGCGUUAAUCGGAAUUACUGGGCGUAAAGCGUGCGCAGGCGGCUAUGCAAGACAGAUGUGAAAAUCCCCGGGCUCAACCUGGGAACUGCAUUUGUGACUGCAUGGCUAGAGUACGGUAGAGGGGGAUGGAAUUCCGCGUGUAGCGGUGGAAUGCGCAGAUAUCAGGAGGAACACCAAUAGCGAAGGCAGCUCGCUGGGACGUUACUGACACUGAGGCGCGAAAGCGUGGGGAGCGAACAGG